AUUGAACGCUGGCGGCGUGCCUAACACAUGCAAGUCGAACGCGUGGCAGACGGGUGUGUCAUGUCUGGGAAACUGCCUGAUGGAGGGGGUUAACUACUGUAAACGUUAGCUAAUACCGCAUACCAUCAGAUGUGCCCAGAUGUGAUUAGCUAGUAGGUGGGGUAAUGGCUCACCAAGGCGACGAUCCCUAGCUGGUCUGAGAGGAUGACCAGCACAACUGGAAAUGAGAAACGCUCCAGACUCUUACGGGAGGAAGAAGAGGGGAAUAUCGAACAAUGGGCGAAAUCCUGACGAAGCAAUGCGGCGUGUGUGAAGAAGGCCUCCGGUUGGUAAAGCACUUUCAGCGAGGAGGCGUUACCCGAAGAAGAAGCAACGGCUAACUCCGUGCCAGCAGCCGCGGUAAUUC
rnacentral:rRNA from 1 species